rnacentral:lncRNA from 1 species
UGGUGUGUACGGAGGCCAACUGGAGGCUCGUGGUGGCGUUACGUGCGUGGGGAGCGGCUCGGGUGUGGCACAUAGGCUAUUAGGGUUUCUAGCUUUUGUUUUUUGUGUUGGGCUGCUUUAUAGUUGGGCUGGGGUAUUUGGGCCACUUGGGUUUGUAAUUGGGCUGAGGUGGUGUAAGUGGGUUAGGGUAAAUAGGCUAAUUAGGCCUAGUAUUGGGCUUAAUUUUGUUUGGAAUUUGGACUUUUAUUAUUUUUAUUUUUAUUUUUAUAUUGGUUUUAUUUAUUUAUACGGGCCAGGGCAAAUUGGGCUAUUACAGCUGCCCCUCUUUGCUCGUUGUCGUGUAACGGAAACGGAGCAAAAACUAAAAGCCUAAUUGCACCCGAUCUUAUUGAGCCUCAACUUCUUCAGUGUUUCUCUUCGUCUAGUAGCCUUAUUCUAAGCCAUUGCA